rnacentral:rRNA from 1 species
UACAGAGGUGCCAAGCGUUAGGCGGAAUCACGGGGCUUAAAGCGCGCGUGGGCGGAUGUUUAAGUGUCUUGUGAAAUCCCACGGCUCAACCGUGGAACUGCUGGGCAUACUGGACAUCUUGAGGCACUCAAGGGCGAGCGGAACAAGUGGUGGAGCGGUGAAAUGCGUAGAUAUCACUUGGAACGCCAAUGGUGAAGACAGCUCGCUGGGGGUGUCCUGACGCUGAGGCGCGAAAGCCAGGGGAGCGAACGGG